CUACCCUAAACUUUCUAGAGAGCAAACGAAGCCCUGAACGAAAUCAGAGAAAGAAGAUCAGACUAUGAAUCUGAGAAUAUGAAAGAUGACGAAAACAGAGAUCUGGCAGAUAACAAAGCCAUCGAGUUUUGGAUCCUACAUUUGGCAAGAGCCUAUCGACGAAAUAGGUAUGAUAUUGUCAUCGUCUCUCUGUAUUAAAUUGAUGACACUUUGGUGAUGAUAUAUUUAAAGAUGAUUGGAAACAUGAUAUAUCUUCUCAUACUAUUUUUUCGAGGGAGUGUUUUGAAGCUGUCCCCCGAACCUGAUAUAUCUUCUCGAUGGAAAUUCCAAUAAUUAUUGAUGGUUGAAUCAUCACAAACUUCACUAACUCAGAAGAUAAACGAUAACCGGUCGAAAACCAAAGCAGCCCUCUUUGAUGUAAUCAGAAGUGGAUCUACAUCCUUUGCCAACUAUCUGAAACCAACAAUCAGUUUGCAACCUGACCCGAUCAAGUGCUUAAAGAAAAGAAACAAGAGUCUUGAGCAAAACUUGAUUUUUGGAACUCAACUCCAAGAUUGGUUUGAGCCGGUAAAGAAGAAAAUCAAAGCAACCACCCCAUUCAAAUAUUUUGCAUCAUGAACGUGCCUCUCAAUCUCAGGGGAGACUGUUUGGGUAAAAUGAAUAGAUUUUGGAAUCCUUUCGCUUAUUUCCCCUUUCAUUCUAUGGCAGAAGCUCAAUUUUGAUGAAUAGUUCAAGCUGUUGUCAUGGCUGGACUUAAUGGCAAGUUUUUCUCCUACACAAUUAGUUCUUUAAUUUUUUUUCCUUCACCAGCUGCACUGCGAUCUAACCUGUGAUAUGUCCUCUUAUAUUAGACUGAGAGGCACCAGCUAGAUUAUCAAUGAACUUCUCUUAGUUUACCUGUUUUUACAAUUUUGUUUUCUUUAUGUGCGGUGAGAAUGGACAUAAGAGUAUCAGUAAGAUCUUUUGUUCUUUUUAAUAAUUAUUUUGGCUAUCCUCCUCAAGAAUAUGUUCCAUUACGACAAUAGAAAUAAUGCCAAAGCUCCAUUUAUUGUUGUACAGCUGUAGGUAAAGUAUCAAGUUUUGUCUUUAAUACGUUGUGUACAUGGGAAUCUAGAUGGAUAUGACUUUGAAGGUAUUCCUUAGAUUUCA